rnacentral:lncRNA from 1 species
AAGCCCAGAAUACUGGAGUGGGUNNNNNNNNNNNNNNNNNNNNNNNNNNNNNNNNNNNNNNNNNNNNNNNNNNNNNNNNNNNNNNNNNNNNNNNNNNNNNNNNNNNNNNNNNNNNNNNNNNNUGGGUAGCUUAUCUCUUCUCCAGGGGAUCUUCCUGACCCAGGAAUCAAACCAGGGUCGUCCACAUUGCAGGCGGAUUCUUUACCAACUGAGUUAUCAGGGAAGCCCUGUAUAAGGCACUAGGCUUUAAAAAUUUCAAGGUUGAUGUUUUAAAUUAGACCUGCAGCUAAUAGAAUAUAUUUGGGUCUAAAGAGUAAGUGAGCACUCUAAUAAAAACAUAAUUAUUAAAACUCAUUUUCAAAUGUUAUAAUAACCUUAUCAGUUACAUAGCAUAUGUGUAUAUGUGUGCUCAGUCAUGUCCGAUAUUUUGCAACCCCAUAGAUUGUAGCCCAUCAGGUUCUUCUGUCCAUGGAAUUUUCCAGGCACGUACUGGAGUGGGUUGCUAUUUCCUAUUCCAGGGUAUAUUCCCAGCUCAGAGACUGAACCCACAUCUCCUGCAAUGGCAGACAGAUUCUUUACCACUGUGCCACCUGGGAAGCCCAGUAAGACAUAAAAGAUUAUCUUUAUAUUAUAAUCCUUAUUAACUAAGUUAUCCCUAAUUUCAGAAAUAACUAGCUUUUUAUUUUCUAGGGAGAAGUGAAACAUAAUGAAUUAUAAGGUGAUUAAUCAGUCAUCAAUUUGACUAGAUGUUUGAUGAGUACAGAUUGCUAAAUGUCAGAAUUCUAGAACUACACACCAGAAUUUUGUUUAUGGAGUUCCCAAUUUUUAGUCUAUACAACUCUGAAACAGAACUAUACUGGAACAAAUACAAGAGAAGGAAGGGCAGAAAGAGUAGCAAAUUAUCACAUUUAAGGUAUAAAAACAUUAAACAUAGGAAUAUCUGUGGUCUUAUUAUGAAAUCUUUUUUAAGCAACUCUGAAUCAAACAGUGUUGAGGUAGGUUGCAAUAUGAGGCAGGUUCAAGAAAUUUCUAUGUUAUUUACUUCUGACUGCACAUAGAGCUCCAGACUACCCACUCUUUAGCCACACAUCACUAUGCGAAGUGUACCUCAUCUCCAACUAAGAAUUUGAGACAACUUGGAUCUGGGAAAGACUGGAAAAAAAAAAAGGUAGCUAUGCAAAUUUAAUAUAAACAAAUUUUGCAGGAAGACUGUUCGGUCAACAUAGGAAAGUAAACUCCCUCUGAACCUUAUGUAAAAUGUUGAGCAGCAACCAUGUCUAUAGAAAUCAAUAUGUUUUUCUGUCUCACACUGGCCUCUGCCAUAAUAAUUCUAUUUUAUUUUCAAGAUACAUCUUUGUGUAGAUGCCAAGAUCUUAUGAAUAAUAUCUGAAGAAAAAAAAAUAAGAAAAAAUAUUUUUAACUCCAUCUUUUUAUAAUCUGAUAUAACCAAUUUAACGGCAUUAAGAGCAAGGUGGUAUUACAACUGAAGUUUAACAUGACCAUUGAGGAAGCAAGAACAAACAUUCCCAUUAAAAUAUUAAUAAAAUAAUAGGGUCCAAAACUGUAUAUAUGGGACAUAGUGGCAUAGUGGUUAAAAUAUAGGGGCUGGAAGAACACAUUGUUACCAGCUCUGUGAGACUGUCCAAAUUAUUUAACAUCUCAGAGCCAAGCAUUCCUCAUAAGAAAUAUUGAAAUAAUAAAAGACUGCCUCCCUAGAUGGGUUCUGUGAAAAUUAAACAAGAGAAUGUACUUAGAACACUUUAAUCAGUGCACUUAAGUAAGUGCUUAAUAAAUGCUUAACGUUAUUGUCAUCCUCUCAAAAUUGUUUUCACUUAACACUCUCAUAAUAAACAAAAGAUUUUGGCAUUUAAAAAAAAUUCCAGAAAGAAACUGACCAAAAUAUUAAUAUAUUUCUGGGAAUCAGUAGUAGGGUUCUUUUCUAAAUGUUCUAAAACGAACAUAUUAUAAGUAAAAUAAGCUAAAUCUUAAGUUAUUUUAAAUAUUCAAAACUAAGAAAAUAUUUUGUAACAAGAGAAGGUAUCCGACCUGGGUCUAGGUCAUUGCUAGGAGACUAGUUUCCUAUAUUAUCUGAGAAAAUCAAAUUUUUAUGAGAAAAUCAUGCAGUGUAUUAGCUGAGACUAUGGGUUCUAGCCUCACUGCUGGCUAUCUGGUAAUCAUUUGGGUAAUUUUGGAUGAGCCUAUAUGACCUCUGGAAGUCCUAAUUCCCAUCUUUGCAAAAUGAAAUAGUAAAGUAGCUCAUUCGAGUGUAUUUUUUAAAAGGUUUCUGUUUCAAAUUUCAUGUUUCUAUAAACACAGGAAUCAAGGCAUCAUGACUUUUGUUUAAAAAUAUUUUUGACACAUAAAGCUUCUGUUAUUAGAACUCUAUGCUCCUGGAGCAUUAAUACAUAGAAUAAGAUAAAUUAUCCAGAGGCAGACACAAGUACAUAUGAUAAAGGGUGUUCCAGCAAUUGGGAAAAAGGAAGAUGCCUCAGUGAAUAAUGUCAGAACAACAUGGGAAAAUAUUUAAUUGGAUCCACUCCUCAUACCUCACACCAAGAUAAAUUCCAAAUGAGAUCUAAAUAUACAAAAUGAAAACAUGGAAGAAAACAGCUGCGGCUUACUUUAUAACCUGGAAGCGGUAAGUUAUUCCUAUCUCAAAAUCCAGAUCCAAUGGGGAAAAGAAUAACCACAUAAAGAUAAAUUUGACUGCAUAAAAAUAAGUAAUAAUUAAAACUUAUACUUAAUAAAAUAUUGUAAGCAAAUGGCAAUAGGGAAAAAACUGUAAUAUAUCAUGCAGGAAUAAUAGCCUCAAUUUAUAAGGAACUUCUAAAAACUGAGAAGGAAAAGAUCAAUAGCCCAAUUCAGACAAAACAUGAACACACGGUUCAUAGAAAAAGAAAUGCAAAUGGUCCUCAGCAUAAUAAAAAUGUUUAACUUCAUUAAUGAUAUAAGAAGUACAAGUUAAAACAACAUGAGAUCCCAUUUUUCACCUUUCAGAUUAGCGAAAGCUCCAAAAGCUUACAACAUACUCUGUUGAUGGGAAAAACUAGCUCUUAUAUAUUACUGUUGGGAACACACCAGUGGAGGUGGAUUGGGCAGUUUCUAUCAAAAUCACAUAUGAUUUACUCUUUGACCCAUCAAUUCCUCUUAUAAAAAUCAAUCCCCCAAAGUAGCAGCAAGACCAACAGCAAAGGACUGGAAAUAACUCAAAUGUCCAACAACAAGGGACUGGUUAAAUAAACUACAGCCACACAAGGGAGCUGUCAGAUACAUAAAGCAGAUCCCCAUAUACUGCUAUGGACUGCUUUCCAGGAUACAUGAAUACAGAAAAAGCACAGCACAGAAGACUGUGUGCUGAAUGUCAUACAGGGAAUAUUAUGUGCUAUAAAAACACAGCUACUUACAUAUCGGGGGUGUCUAAGGUAGCUCAAUGGUAAAGAGUCUCCUGCCAAUGCAGGAGAGGUGGGCUCGAUGCCAUAGGUUUGAUCCCAUGGGGUUAGGAAGAUCCCCUGGAGAAGGAAAUGGCAACCCACUGCAAUAUUCUUGCCNNNNNNNNNNNNNNNNNNNNNNNNNNNNNNNNNNNNNNNNNNNNNNNNNNNNNNNNNNNNNNNNNNNNNNNNNNNNNNNNNNNNNNNNNNNNNNNNNNNCCUGGAGAAGGAAAUGGCAACCCAUUCCAGUAUUCUUGCCUGGAGAAUCCGCAUGGACAGAGGAGCCUGGUAGGCUAUAGUCCAUAGGUCCCAAAGAGUCGGACAUGACUGAGCAACUUUCUCCACUAGUUCUGCAAUAUUCCGUAUUCCUAGUGCCCAGUAAAAAAUUUGAGGCAUGCCACUUAUAUUUAUCAAGAUGUAACAAUGUUUUGGGGUAAAGAUCUUAAUAUUUACAAUUUAUCUCAACUGUAUAUAAACAAACUUUAAUGAAUUCAUGUGAUGAACUACUUUUUUAGCUCUUCUAUUUCCCGUAAUUUUUAGUUAGGCGAAACCUCCUCUAUUCAGUGUAAGUGUUAGUAAGUAAGUGUUAGUCGCUCAGUCGUGCCCAACUCUUUGGGACCCCAUGGACUGCCACCCACCAGGCUCCUCUGUCCAUGAGAUUUUCCAAGCAAGAAUACUGGAGU